rnacentral:rRNA from 1 species
AAUGAACGUUGGCGGCGUGGAUUAGGCAUGCAAGUCGCGCGAGAAAUUUUCUUCGGAGAAUGGAAAGCGGCGGAAGGGAGAGGAUAAGGUAGAAAUCUACCCUCGGGACGGGGAUAGCUGCGGGAAACUGCUGGUAAUACCCGAUAAUAUCUUUGGAUCAAAGGUGUGAUUCCGCCUGAGGAUGAGUCUACUUCCUAUUAGCUUGGUGGCAGGGUAAUGGCCUAGCAAGGCAACGAUGGGUAGCGGGUGUGAGAGCAGGACCCGCCGUACUGGGACUGAGAACUGACCAGCAACCUACGGGUGGCUGCAGUCGAGAAUCUUCGGCAAUGGGCGCAAGCCUGACCGAGCGACGCCGCGUGCGGGAUGAAGGCCUUCGGGUUGUAAACCGCUGUCGUAGAGGAGCAAAUGCAUGGGGGUUCUCCCCUGUGCUUGAGUGAUUCUAGGAGGAAGGGGAGGCUAAGCUCGUGCCAGCAGCCGCGGUAA